GCAUUAAUGGGGUAGUGGUAACCUGGGUCGUUGCCAUAGAGUCAUUGACUCGACCCGCCGGGGGUUCGAUUCCCUCUUAAUGCA